GACGAACGCUGGCGGCGUGCUUAACACAUGCAAGUCGAACGGUAAGGCCCUUCGGGGUACACGAGUGGCGAACGGGUGAGUAACACGUGGGUGAUCUGCCCUGCACUUCGGGAUAAGCCUGGGAAACUGGAUCUAAUACCGGAUAGGACCCUGGGAUGCAUGUCCUGGGGGGGAAAGCUUUUGCGGUGUGGGAUGGGCCCGCGGCCUAUCAGCUUGUUGGUGGGGUGAUGGCCUACCAAGGCGACGACGGGUAGCCGGCCUGAGAGGGUGACCGGCCACACUGGGACUGAGAUACGGCCCAGACUCCUACGGGAGGCAGCAGUGGGGAAUAUUGCACAAUGGGCGCAAGCCUGAUGCAGCGACGCCGCGUGAGGGAUGACGGCCUUCGGGUUGUAAACCUCUUUCAGCACCGACGAAGCGCAAGUGACGGUAGGUGCAGAAGAAGGACCGGCCAACUACGUGCCAGCAGCCGCCGUAA
rnacentral:rRNA from 1 species